UUAAUCUCAAAAUUCCAAACAUAUCAAAUAUGUUAAAAAGGGAUAUUCUCACAAAAUGUACGUUCACACCACUGAAACUCAUUCCUCCCUUAAUCACAUAUGUGCAGCUUUAAUCCGUGACCUUCAUUUUCAUUCAUUUCCCUUCAAAUCUUUCCGAAUAAAAAUUUCUACUUUUUUGACAGUUCUCAGACCAAGGAGAAAGCUACCUGCAUGGCAUUACGAGACUAAGGCAGUUCUCAUAGUAAAGCAGAACUCCAGAAAUUAAAGCAAAGUUUAAUUAAAUAAUUAGAGAUGAUCUAAGAUUAAAUAUAUAUAUAGAAAGGCAAGAGUAUAAUGAAGUCCACCAGUGCUAGUAUAGAAUCUAGAUACCUGCAAGAACCUUGCUUCUACACUCUUAAGCCAUCUUUAGCUCUCAUCUAUCUCCACUUUUACCCCUUUAGUAGCGGUAAGAGUGGAAGGAGGCAUUAACGUCACAUGUUCCUCUAUGACACUAGCAUUAACUUUUCCGCUUUCACUAACUUGAAGAAGAGAACAACAUUCAGUAGCUCCAACUUGUUGGGCCAAAUCAUCAACUUCAUCUUCAAAACAAGUUUUCCCCUUCUCAUUAGUGUUAGAAAGAGAACCCAAAAUUUUCUUUUGACCGCAUGUAGCAUCUUCACCCAGUUUCUGUGACAAGAUUAUGUCCUUUGCCUCAGGUACAGAACUUGAGUUACAUGUAACACCAAGUCCUCCAUUAAUGGCAGUAGACUCUGCAUGUUUUUCAAGGCUAUUACUUUCACUCAGAGGACUCUUUUUAUUCUUAUGUAGGCUGUCAUUCCCAUCAGCAUAACUGACAUCUGGAUUGUUUAUUGCUGUGUCACAAUCUUUAGGGGCAAUUUUCUCAGCCUUCAAGUUACUUUGCCCACUGUUUCCAGGAGACAUUCUAUUCUGAACUUUCAGAGGCAUGCCAGGA
rnacentral:misc_RNA from 1 species